UAUGUGACUCUGAUCAUCUCACAACUAUUGCAGAUGAAUCAACAUAUCACUAACAGUCUACAUGUCCUUAUGCAUACAUUGGAUUUUCUCAACUAUGAAAUCUAAUUUAUAGCACCUAACCUAAUUGUCAAUAUUCAGCCAUUUAUUAAGUAUAGCUCAUUAACUAUGGAUUGAAUAAGCUGAUGAUAUUGGGUUAAUCUGGUCA
rnacentral:lncRNA from 1 species